rnacentral:rRNA from 1 species
UGGCUCAGAACGAACGCUGGCGGCAGGCUUAACACAUGCAAGUCGAGCGGGCGUAGCAAUACGUCAGCGGCAGACGGGUGAGUAACGCGUGGGAACGUACCUUUUGGUUCGGAACAACCCAGGGAAACUUGGGCUAAUACCGGAUAAGCCCUCACGGGGAAAGAUUUAUCGCCGAAAGAUCGGCCCGCGUCUGAUUAGCUAGUUGGUGAGGUAAUGGCUCACCAGGGAGACGAUCAGUAGCUGGUCUGAGAGGAUGAUCAGCCACAUUGGGACUGAGACACGGGAAAAACUCCUACGGGAGUCCCCAGUGG